rnacentral:rRNA from 1 species
GUGCCGUCCGCUGAGGAUGGCUUUUACUCGGUCUAACCAGCCGGGCGAAUAAGGGGAGGGCAAGUCUGGUGUCAGCCGCCGCGGUAAUACCAGCUCCUCGAGUGGUUGGGACGAUUAUUGGGUCUAAAGCGUCCGUAGCCGGCUGGAAAAGUUCUCCGUAAAAUCCAACGAUCCAAUCGCUGGAUCGCGGGGAAUACUUUCCGGCUUGGGGGCGGGGGAGGUCGGCGGUAGUCCCGGGGUAGGGGCGAAAUCUUAUAAUCCCGGGAGGACCACCAGUGGCGAAGGCGGCCGACUAAAACGCGCCCGACGGUGAGGGACGAAAGCUGGGGGAGCGAACGGGAUUAGAUACCCCGGUAGUCCCAGCUGUAAACGAUGCAGGCUAGGUGUUAGGACGGGUACGGCCCGUCCUAGUGCCGCAGGGAAGCCAUUAAGCCUGCCACCUGGGGAGUACGGCCGCAAGGCUGAAAAAGGAAUUGGCGGGGGAGCA